rnacentral:rRNA from 1 species
UACGGAGGGUGCAAGCGUUGUCCGGAUUUAUUGGGUUUAAAGGGUGCGUAGGCGGCCUAUUAAGUCAGGGGUGAAAGACUGCAGCUUAACUGUAGCAGUGCCUUUGAUACUGUAGGACUUGAGUGAAUUUGAGGUAGGCGGAAUUGACGGUGUAGCGGUGAAAUGCUUAGAUAUCGUCAAGAACACCGAUAGUGAAGACAGCUUACCAAGCUUCAACUGACGCUGAGGCACGAAAGUGUGGGGAUCAAACAGG